UCCAAGGGUUGGGCUGUUCGCCCAUUAAAGCGGUACGCGAGCUGGGUUCAGAACGUCGUGAGACAGUUCGGUCCCUAUCCGUCGUGGGCGUAGGAAACUUGAGAGAAGCUGUCCCUAGUACGAGAGGACCGGGAUGGAUGUACCUCUGGUGCACCAGUUGUCUUGCCAAAGGCAGAGCUGGGUAGCUAAGUACAGAGAAGAUAAGCGCUGAAAGCAUCUAAGCGCGAAGCAAAUCCCAAGAUAAGGUUUCCCAUAGAGUAAUUCUAGUAAGAUCCCUGAAAGACUAUCAGGUAGAUAGGCCAGAGGUGUACAGAUAGCAAUAUCUUUAGCUGACUGGUACUAAUAGAUCGAGGAUUU
rnacentral:ncRNA from 1 species